rnacentral:ncRNA from 1 species
GCAGAGUAGACGGUCAGGCGUUAAGUGCUGUCGGGACGGGGAGUUGCCCGGCAGACGAAGGUAUAUCCGCGGUCCGGCUGUCGCAUCCCGCUGC